GACGAACGCUGGCGGCGUGCUUAACACAUGCAAGUCGAACAGAAAGGCCCUGCUUUUGUGGGGUGCUCGAGUGGCGAACGGGUGAGUAACACGUGAGUAACCUGCCCUUGACUUUGGGAUAACUUCAGGAAACUGGGGCUAAUACCGGAUAGGAGCUCUUGCUGCAUGGUGGGGGUUGGAAAGUUUCGGCGGUUGGGGAUGGACUCGCGGCUUAUCAGCUUGUUGGUGGGGUAGUGGCUUACCAAGGCUUUGACGGGUAGCCGGCCUGAGAGGGUGACCGGCCACAUUGGGACUGAGAUACGGCCCAGACUCCUACGGGAGGCAGCAGUGGGGAAUAUUGCACAAUGGGCGGAAGCCUGAUGCAGCAACGCCGCGUGCGGGAUGACGGCCUUCGGGUUGUAAACCGCUUUCGCCUGUGACGAAGCGUGAGUGACGGUAAUGGGUAAAGAAGCACCGGCUAACUACGUG
rnacentral:rRNA from 1 species